UUCCCUUCUUCCUUUCAACAACCUGUCCGUCAAAUUUUAGUUUUUUUUCUUUCUUCUUCCUCCUCCUCUCGGUUUCUUCUAGAUUUCUCCUCUCUGAACUUAAUUCUAGUGAUUUUGGUUCGAGUUCGAGAACGCAAAGAAAGGAUGGGUUUUACCUGAAUUGGAUGUUGCAGCAGUUAAAUGUGAUGAACGGAGAGUGUUUUGGUCUGUGUUAGGGUUUGAAAUUGAAUUAGAAUCGAGAGAAAAAGGGGAGGCUUUGUUAAUGGAGAAAACGAGAGCAUUCAGAGAGAUAAAUUGAGAAGAUGAAGAAGAGAAAUCUGUCAUAGAGGGGGAAUGGGUUUGUGUUUUAAUCACUUGAUUUGGAAGAAGAAACCAGAGAAGAAAUUGAUGAUGAUGUUCUCAGUUGAUGAAGAAGAUGAAGAUGUUUAUAUGAAUUCAAGCAACAAAGGUGAUGAAUUUGGGAAGAACUGUGAGUUUAGUAUUCUGAAAUUGCAAUAAGGAUUUUGAAUUUGAUCCGAGUUGAUGAUGGCCGCUGUUGUGAAUUGAGAUAGCUGUUGGUCUUGAAAAUGAAGACAUAUGAGAUCUGGUGUUGAUUUGAAGGGGUAGGUCAUGGAUUUGAAGAUGUGGUAGUGGUUCUGGUGAUUGGUUGUAGUUGAAGUUGCACUUACGGAGAUGGGGUUUUGGACAAUGACUUGAGCAAGUGGUGAAAUUACAGUUGACAGGCAGUUGGAAAUGGAAUGCUUUGUUGCUGCUGCAUAUGGCUCAGGUUGUGAGAAUUCAAGACAGAAAUUGAAGAUGAUGGUACUGGACUCAACAGUAAAUGGAGUUGGCCUUGCAAGAAUUUUGUUGCUGAGUGGUGAUUGAGUUGGUCUUGUAGCUGAGUGCAGAAGGCUGAAGGGUUUAAGGGUGCUGUGAUAAUAGGUUGUGUAGGCAUGAAGCUACAGGUGUUGUUGGCGCCAAGUCAGACUUGCAAUUCUGGUAGAGAUACUGCAAUACAGUAAAUGACAUGUGCAUCUAGAUGUAUGUUUAGGACUGCACAGGGAUAUGGAGAAUGAAGCGGGAGCUGGUUAUGAGGUUGUAGUCAAGGGGAUGAAGUUGGUGAUUUUGGUGUGUUGGUUGCAGAUGAUAUUAUGAAGAGUUUUGUUCAAAUGGGUGUUUCGAAAUCAAUUGACGCACUUGAGCUUCAAACCAUGGGUUGUGGCGCGUUUGAAGUAGUAGUAGGUUUAAUAGGUUUAUCUGGGCAAAGGUCUGCGUUUCCAAUAGCCAGACUGAAGAAUUUGCCGCUCAAAACAUAGCUGAACAAACUCUAAUUAGUCGCUUGAAAAGUCAAAGUAAUUGGUGCCAGAAAAUUUGUGCAGUUCGUUUUGCUGGAACUCAGCCACUGAAUGUUGUUGCAUUUGUCCUUGAUGGGCUCUAUUAUGGGGUUUCAGACUUUGCAUAUGCAGCAUACUCCAUGCUGAAGUUUGGAUGGGAUUAUUUCUUUUCGUGAUCUUACGAGUAUUUGCUGGGAUUUGGAGACUGGGAAGCAAGAGUGGACCGUGGAUAACUGUUUGGUCUCAGAUAGAGCAGAAAAGUAACUGAAGUACUUUUGAACAUUCAGUAGUAGAUCAGAAGGUAGUUCAGCUCAAAUUCCUGAACAUGUGUAACUUAUUUGUUUUACUUCUGAACUCAAUUUUAAUAGGUUUUCAAAUCUGAAACAAAUACUAAAGUUAGUAUUAUACAUGGUGAAAUCAAUCAAUAAUCUGAAACAAAUACCAAAUUUUGUAACUCUUAUAAACUGUUUGCCUGAGAGAGUUGCAGGCAAAUUCUAGAAAUUUCUAGAAAUGAUAGUUAUCGUGAACAUGUCUAAUUUUUUUUCCUUUACAAAUCUGGAUCCAUGCAAUCACGUAGCGGUGUCGUUUCGUCAAGUUCUCUGG